rnacentral:rRNA from 1 species
GAUGAACGCUAGCGAUAGGCUUAACACAUGCAAGUCGAGGGGCAGCAUGGUCUUAGCUUGCUAAGACUGAUGGCGACCGGCGCACGGGUGCGUAACGCGUAUGCAACUUGCCUCACAGAGGGGGAUAACCCGUCGAAAGACGGACUAAUACCGCGUACACUUGGGAUAGGGCAUCCUGACCCAAGGAAAUGAAAUUCGCUGUGAGAUAGGCAUGCGUCCCAUUAGCUAGUUGGUGAGGUAACGGCUCACCAAGGCGACGAUGGGUAGGGGAACUGAGAGGUUGAACCCCCACACUGGUACUGAGACACGGACCAGACUCCUACGGGAGGCAGCAGUGAGGAAUAUUGGUCAAUGGGCGAGAGCCUGAACCAGCCAAGUCGCGUGAAGGAUGACUGUCUUAUGGAAUGUAAACUUCUUUUAUACGGGAAUAACAAGAGUCACGUGUGGCUCCCUGCAUGUACCGUAUGAAUAAGCAUCGGCUAACUCCGUG